GACGAACGCUGGCGGCGUGCUUAACACAUGCAAGUCGAACGGAAAGACCCUGCUUUUGUGGGGUGCUCGAGUGGCGAACGGGUGAGUAACACGUGAGUAACCUGCCCUUGACUUUGGGAUAACUUCAGGAAACUGGGGCUAAUACCGGAUAGGAGCUCCUGCUGCAUGGUGGGGGUUGGAAAGUUUCGGCGGUUGGGGAUGGACUCGCGGCUUAUCAGCUUGUUGGUGGGGUAGUGGCUUACCAAGGCUUUGACGGGUAGCCGGCCUGAGAGGGUGACCGGCCACAUUGGGACUGAGAUACGGCCCAGACUCCUACGGGAGGCAACAGUGGGGAAUAUUGCACAAUGGGCGGAAGCCUGAUGCAGCAACGCCGCGUGCGGGAUGACGGCCUUCGGGUUGUAAACCGCUUUCGCCUGUGACGAAGCGUGAGUGACGGUAAUGGGUAAAGAAGCACCGGCUAACUACGUG
rnacentral:rRNA from 1 species